CCCUUAGAUGUUCUGGGCCGCACGCGCGCUACACUGAUGCAUUCACCAAGCCUAGCCUUGACCGAGAGGUCCGGGUAAUCUUUGAAACUGCAUCGUGAUGGGGCUAGAUUAUUGCAAUUAUUAAUCUUCAACGAGGAAUGCCUAGUAAGCGUGAUUCAUCAAAUCGCGUUGAUUACGUCCCUGCCCUUUGUACACACCGCCCGUCGCACCUACCGAUUGAGAGCAUAGGUGAAAACUCAGGAUCUUAUCUCUUGGACCUUCGGGUACCUUUAGAUUAGAGAAUUUGUUUAAACCUCCGUUCUUAGAGGAAGGUGAAGUCGUAACA
rnacentral:rRNA from 1 species